rnacentral:rRNA from 1 species
GAUCAUGGCUCAGGAUGAACGCUGGCGGCGUGCUUAACACAUGCAAGUCGAACGCUUCACUUCGGUGAAGAGUGGCGAACGGGUGAGUAAUACAUAAGUAACCUGGCAUCUACAGGGGGAUAACUGAUGGAAACGUCAGCUAAGACCGCAUAGGUGUAGAGAUCGCAUGAACUCUAUAUGAAAAGUGCUACGGGACUGGUAGAUGAUGGACUUAUGGCGCAUUAG